AAAUGUUUAUUGGAAAGUAUUGCAUUUAGAAAUCGAUAAGUUAAAUCGUAGACCGUUUGUUACGCAACACACGAUGCAAGAGAAGGCCAAGUGUGUCGUCUGCUACAGUGAUUAAGAAACCGUAACAGUAGUCGGGACGGUUUCGAUCGGUAUGGCCAAGAUGGAGGUGAAGUAUGUUCAAGUUUCGUUAAUUUUAUCAUGUACAACUGAAGCUUUUUGAUAAAGUUAAGUAGAGAAACUUCUAGAAUUCCUUCAAGGCGGAACAGAGUUAUUUUAGCACGCAUCAGAUGACACAAUAAAUGACUAAGUGUAGAAUGUUUUAGAAUAGGCCAACUGCAUUUCUUUUUUCGUUCAAGACAAUAGAAAAAGUAAAGAUUUAAACCAAGUGAAGUUUAAAACAUUAUAAUUGAAAAUUAUCUGACAUUGUAAUGGUUUGAGUGCCGGAAAAGUCGAACUAGAGCCCUUGCCAACCUUUUUUAAAACUUCAAUUUGACAAAAACCUAUUUAAG